AUAUAGAUAUAUAUAUAUAUUUGGAACUUUUUAUUUUUGAAUUAGAACAACAACAUUUACAUGGAGAUGCAUUUGAGUUUCUUCUUCCCUUCUCCAGGGCAGUGUUUCCCUGAACAAAGUUCGAAUUUCCUUGUGGCCAUAAGAUCUAUCCAACUUAACCAAGUCACCAAUCAGUACAUAUAGUUCUGACAAGCUUUCUCUGUAUUCAUCGUAUCUGCUCUCUUCUACAUUCUACAUUUUACUUUGAUCUAGCUAAAUAACUCACCCAAAAGACAAAAAAACAUAAAUAAAAAAAAUAAAAAUUAAUAAUAAUAAUUUUCACACGAGAGUACUAUCUUUCUAACAUUUGUUUUAUUGGUUCCCAAAUUUUUUCUAAUUUCCCUAGUCCCAGUCAUAGUCUUGCAUUAAUUUGUUCCAUUUUGUAGACCUGUCUAACUCUGUCUCUCCACUGUGCCACCCUUGGUGGUUCUGUGUCCAGCCAUAAAACUGUAAUACACUUCUUGGCAGUCAUAAGCAGAAUUCUGAUUACGUAUGUCUCCAUUAUGUGUGUAUGAUUUUUGGUACAGCAUUCCCAGUACAAACCAUUUUAACUUAAAUUGUAAUUUCACCUUCCAGGUUCUUUCAAUUUCUCCCUAACACCUUCCCAGAAUGGUAUGAAUUUAGGGCAGUCCAAAAAUAUAUGUGAAAAGUCUCCCACUAGCCCGCAUUUUCUCCAACAUAAAUUUGAAACAUUACUAUUUAGACAUGAUAAGUGGAGUUUUAAAGCAUGCAUCUUCACCUUCCAUUCAAAUUCCCUCCAAGACGGACUAUUAGUAGUUUAUGGCCUGCUUCAAGUGUUUCCUCCCAUUCCUCAUCUGUUAUCAUUAUGUUCACUUCCAGUUCCCAUUUUUCUUUAAUAUCUAUAUUCUUAACAAUCAAAUCCUGUUGUAAAGCUUUAUAUAUUUUGAAAUCAGUCCUUUUUGACAUGUCCUUUCUGUUUAACAUAAUCACUUCCUCCAUAUUAAGUUUAUCCUUGCUUGAAACUUUGCCUUAUUUUGAAAUAACUACUCUGUCUGUCUGUCCUAAAUAACAUAUUAAGCAUGAAAUUACGAAUUAUUGUGAAAUUACACGCACAGGAAGUGCUUUUAUUUUGUAGCAUUUGCUCAGUCAGCUCUCGAAGCUUCUCAGCAGACCGAGAAGAAGAGCAAGGGUUGGAGGAGCAUUAACCGUCGGUGGUCGCGCUUUUGUUCUGCAUCUGCACUUGACAGUCACUGGUUCUGCACCACUGAGUUAAAUAUGUGUAAAUGUAGAGCAUCUGCGUUCCUAUGAGCUGUCAGCCACACCGGGAAGCCUGUCUAUGAAUCUGCAGUCAGACUUCAGUGAUCCAACCCCACUCUCUGCACACAAGAUUGAUGGCAUGCUGCUGUUGACCCCCAAGAGGUUCAUACAAGUGAGACCACUGGAAUUACAUGAUGUCCACACAAGGCGUACCACUGUUCUCCAUGCCCUUCCUGUCUAUCUACGUGAGGAAACCUCUGGAUUUUUGAGGACAUGUGUGGAUGAUACCAAUGAGCUGGACCUCCGGGAUGCAGCAGUUGUCCUCCUGACAACCAUCACCGAUGAUGCCGAGAGUCCAGUUACGUACGACCCAGUGAGAAUCUGUUAUCCUAGAGGGUGAUGUGAUUGUCAACCUCUCCAGCCUUCCUGAUGUCUUCCUGGGCGUGCUCAGUUGAAGUUUCCAUCUCUGCGCGUUCAAGAUGUAAGAAAAAUAACACGAAAGAAAUGCAACAACGAAAACUUCAAAAAGGCAUCAACAACCAAGCAAGUGGAUCCAUAAAAUGGACUGAUUUUUUUAAAGGCAUUUUUAAAAAGUCUUUCAAAAUGGACAGAAUUAACGCGUCAUGUUCAGAACAGUUUGUGUUCUCAUCUUUGAUUAAUCCUGGUAAACAGGUCUGUUUUUGUUCUGUUCUAAUUCUCUCUGUUUAAUAAAUUUAAACAAAAUGA